GGGAUCCGUCUCCUCUUUCGCCUCCUCCGCUUUGGGAGCCCCGGGCUACUCUUUCACAGCCCCUGUUGCCCUGUGAUCUGUAGGUCCUUGGGGACGCACAGUUAAGAUGACAGGACAUCCUGGAAGCUGGGAAAUGGUAACUUCUUAGACCAAGUCUAGAAACAGUCUGAGGACAAUAACAAUUCCAUUCUAAAAAGAAUCUCCCAACAUUUCUUCUAUCUCAACCUCAACUGCAUCUGCCUGUGAACUUCCAGCUUACCAAGGCUCUAUAUCUUCUGGCAGUGACAAAGGCUCCUUCCAUGAUAUGUAUUCAUUUCCUACCACCGUAGUGGAAGAGAGAUUUUCCCUAUCUUUACAACUGAUAGCAUUUCCAACAGUAAGCUGUGAGAUUCUGCUUGAAAUCACCUCUCAAACAAAUAAAAAACAGACCUGGGAGACAUGCUACACUCAUUCUGCUGAGGAAAUAGGUGGGAUUGUGACAUACAUCUCUGCCCAGCUCCUGAGUGUUUUAGCUCUGUUUCCUGUGUCCAGCUCACAGAUGGGAUUCUGAUAUAUCACUGAAGCCAGCACCUAAAUGAUGUGACUCUUAUCUCCUG
rnacentral:lncRNA from 1 species